AGCAGCCGCGGUAAUUCCAGCUCCAAUAGCGUAUAUUAAAGUUGUUGCAGUUAAAAAGCUCGUAGUUGAACUUCGGGGUCUACCCAUUGGUCAGGCUUAAUUGUCUGCACUGGUGAGAUGGAUCUCUACCUUCUGAGGAACUUUCAUGCCAUUUAUUUGGUGUGAUGGGAAAUCAGGACUGUUACUUUGAAAAAUUAGAGUGUUUAAAGCAGACUAUCGUCUGAAUACAUUAGCAUGGAAUAAUGAAAUAGGACGGACUGAUUCUAUUUCGUUGGUUUCUAGGAUCACCGUAAUGAUUAAUAGGGAUAGUUGGGGCAUUAGUAUUCAAUUGUCAGUAGGUGAAAUUCUUGGAUUUAUUGAAGUACUAACUACUGCGAAAGCAUUGCCAAGGAUGUUUUCAUUAAUCAAGAACGAAAGUUAGGGGAUCGAAGACGAUCAGAUACCGUCGUAGUCUUAAACCAUAAACUAUGCCGACUAGGGAUCGGAUGAUGUUAAUUUUAAUGACUU
rnacentral:misc_RNA from 1 species